ensembl:lncRNA
GAAGGCUGGGCGUGCCCUGUCCCUCUCCAGAACUAUCCCCCACAGUGAGCCCACAGGAGAAGGACCUCCUGGCUUCUCUCAAAGGCAGGAGGGAAGCCUUUUUGAGAGACCAAGUAAUUUAUGGACAUUCCCUGGUGGCUCAGAUGGUAAAGAAUCUGCCUGCGAUGUAGGAGACCUGGGUUCAACCUCUGGGUCAGGAAGAUCUCCUGGAGAAGAAAAUGGCUACCCACUCCAGCUUUCUUGCCUGGGAAAUCCCAUGGACAGAGGAGCCUGGCAGGCUACAGUCCAUAGGUCACAAAGAGUCCAAUAUGACUGAGUGAUCAACACUAUGGAUACUUGAAGAUGUCUUCAGAACCUUUCAUCUGAAAGAAGCUAUGACAGAGCAGAAGCUGGAGAUGUCUGGAUUGAAAUGCAGAGAGCACACUGCUGUUUAAUGAUAAACUGUCAUGAGGUAUACUGUUCCUCCUUCCUGCCAAGGCUGUCUCACUAAGAUCAGACUGCAAAAUCUUUCAGAAAUGUCUUCAACUUAUUAGUAAUUUGGUGAUGAUGCUGGAAUCCAUAACUGCCUAUUAGCUGCCACUUAGUGGCAGAUAUUUUACAGAGAGAUGGGAGCAACCCAAGUGUCCAUAAAAGGAUUUUAAAAAUAUGUUAUAAACCUAAAUGGAAUCACUCAGUUGUGCCUGACUCUGUGACCCUGGACUGCAGCCCACCAGGUUCCUCUGUCCAUGAGAUUUUCCAGGCAAGGAUACUGGAGUGGGUUUCCAUUUCCUUCUCUAGGGAAAUGGAAUGUUAUUCAGCCUUAAAAAGGCAAUUCUGACAUAGGCCAGAACAUGGAUGAACUCUGAAGAUAUUAUGCUAAGUGAAAAAAGUCCAUCACAAAAUGACAAACACUUCGUGAAUCCACUUACACAAGGUAUUUAUUCAAUCCAUAGAGACGGUGUUUAAUGGAUAUAGAGUGUUUAAUGGGUACAGAGUUUUAAUGAGGGAGAUGAAAAAGUUCUCAAGAUGGAUAGUCGUG